rfam:Kyrpidia tusciae DSM 2912, complete genome.
GAAACGGGAAGCCGGCACUAGGCAACUGGGUAAGACCGGCGCCCCUGCCCCGCAAGGGACGGGUACU